rnacentral:misc_RNA from 1 species
GAUGAAGAACGUAGCGAAAUGCGAUAAGUAAUGUGAAUUGCAGAAUUCAGUGAAUCAUCGAAUCUUUGAACGCACAUUGCGCCCUCUGGUAUUCCGGGGGGCAUGCCUGUUCGAGCGUCAUUAUAACCACUCAAGCUCUCGCUUGGUAUUGGGGUUCGCGGUUUCGCGGCCCCUAAAAUCAGUGGCGGUGCCUGUCGGCUCUACGCGUAGUAAUACUUCUCGCGAUUGAGUUCGAUAGGUCUACUUGCCAGUAACCCCCAAUUUUUACAGGUUGACCUCGGCUCAGGUAGGGAUACCCGCUGAACUUAAGCAUAUCCAAUAAGCGGAGGA